rnacentral:rRNA from 1 species
AUGGGUGGUGGCAUUGGUGUGCUGCACAUCGCAGCCGUCGGAGGGCAUCUUGAGGUUUGCAAAUACUUGGUGGAGGAACUCGGGGGAGAUGUGAAUGCUCCUGACUUUGCAAGUGUGACACCCUUUAUGUCAUCUGCUCAGUCUGGCGAUGUUUCCACUGUGAAGUAUUUGCUUGAUCAUGGCGGUGAUCUAACAAAGUCAGAUGCUAAAGGACGCACAGUUUUCCACCAUGCGGCAUGCAUAGUACACUGUACGGUCACCGAGUUCCUACUUUCAAAAGGAGUACCUGUUGACAUAGACUGUGGCCGUGGUACACCACUCCAUCAAGCUGCUACUAAUGAACAAGAUAAAACAGUGAAGAUUUUGUUCGAACACCAUGCAGAUGUAUAUAACUCUUACCAUUUCCCUUCUUAUUUUUGUUUUCUAGAUUUGAUUUGCAUAGAUAGCUUGUUUUUAUUUUGUCGGCUACUUGGAUUGACAAUUUAUGGCAGCUCAUAA